rnacentral:lncRNA from 1 species
UCCAUUAUUCUUUCCAAUGUCACGCCCUCCUUGACCAAUUUUCCACUGUCCAGAAAAAACUUUGCAACCAAAUUCAUCAAAGUGGUAUCGCGGUCGGUGACAAUUACUUUUGGCGUGUCUUCUUUGUCCUCCAAAAUUGCCUGACAUGCCUCUAAAGCCCAAGUAACAUUUUCCUAUCUUUUGCUUUUCAAAAUUGCAAACCCAACAAAAUAAGUCUUCUAAGUAGAGGUAACACCAACAAUUCCCAAUAGUGGAAGC